CAAUAGCGUAUAUUAAAGUUGUUGCAGUUAAAAAGCUCGUAGUUGGAUUUCUGAAUCGAAUGUCCGGUCGGCUUACUAAGUAAGCUCGUACAGGUGACAUUUGUUUCAUUUUUUGUGAGGAAAUUUAUCUGUCAUUAAGUUGAUGGGUUUACGGACUUGCAUCGUUUACUGUGAAAAAAUUAGAGUGUUUAAAGCAGGCGUUUGCCUUGAAUACAUUAGCAUGGAAUAAUAAGAUAUGACUUUGGUGGUCUAUUUUGUUGGUUUGCACACCAGAGUAAUGAUUAAUAGGGACAGUUGGGGGUAUUCAUAUUUCAGCGUCAGAGGUGAAAUUCUUAGAUCGCUGAAAGAUGAGCUUAGGCGAAAGCAUUUACCAAGGAUGUUUUCAUUAA
rnacentral:rRNA from 1 species